GGUGCGGCGAGCCGGUGGGGGUACCGCGAGGCGAGCGCGGGAGUCCGGGCGGCGAGCUGGGUGGGAGCUGCCCGAAAAUGCACUCGGAUGCCGCAGCUGUCAACUUUCAGCUGAACUCUCAUCUCUCAACACUGGCAAAUAUUCAUAAGAUCUAUCAUACCCUUAAUAAGCUAAAUCUAACAGAAGACAUUGGCCAAGACGAUCACCAAACAGG